AGUGCGAGGGCAUAGAGCCCUCGCUUUUGUACACCGUAAGGUGGUGUACGAAUAAGAGCUGGGCAAGACCGGUGCCAGCCGCCGCGGUAAUACCGGCAGCUCGAGUGAUGGCCGAUCUUAUUGGGCCUAAAGCGUCCGUAGCUGGCCAGGCAAGUCCGUUGGGAAAUCUGCUCGCUUAACGAGCAGGCGUCCAGCGGAAACUGCUUGGCUUGGGACCGGAGGACCUGAGGGGUACGUCCGGGGUAGGAGUGAAAUCCUGUAAUCCUGGACGGACCACCGGUGGCGAAAGCGCCUCAGGAGGACGGAUCCGACAGUGAGGGACGAAAGCUAGGGUCUCGAACCGGAUUAGAUACCCGGGUAGUCCUAGCUGUAAACGAUGCUCGCUAGGUGUGGCGCAGGCUACGAGCCUGCGCUGUGCCGUAGGGAAGCCGAGAAGCGAGCCGCCUGGGAAGUACGUCUGCAAGGAUGAAACUUAAAGGAAUUGGCGGGGGAGCACUACAACCGGAGGAGCCUGCGGUUCAAUUGGACUCAACGCCGGACAUCUCACCGGCUCCGACAGUAGUAAUGACGGUCAGGUUGAUGACCUUACCCGACGCUACUGAGAGGAGGUGCAUGGCCGCCGUCAGCUCGUACCGUGAGGCGUCCUGUUAAGUCAGGCAACGAGCGAGACCCGCACCCCUAAUUGCCAGCAGUACCCUUUGGGUAGCUGGGUACAUUAGGGGGACUGCCGCUGCCAAAGCGGAGGAAGGAACGGGCAACGGUAGGUCAGUAUGCCCCGAAUGAGCCGGGCAACACGCGGGCUACAAUGAUUGAGACAAUGGGAAGCCACUCCG
rnacentral:rRNA from 1 species